UACGAAGGGGGCUAGCGUUGCUCGGAAUCACUGGGCGUAAAGCGUGCGCAGGCGGCGCGUUAAGACAGGUGUGAAAGCCCCGAGCUUAACUUGGGAAUUGCGCUUGUGACUGGCGUGCUGGAGUGUGGCAGAGGGAGGUGGAAUUCCACGUGUAGCAGUGAAAUGCGUAGAGAUGUGGAGGAACACCGAUGGCGAAGGCAGCCUCCUGGGCCAGCACUGACGCUCAGGCACGAAAGCGUGGGGAGCAAACAGG
rnacentral:rRNA from 1 species